rnacentral:rRNA from 1 species
GCGUAAGCGCACGCAGGCGGUCUGUCAAGUCGGAUGUGAAAUCCCCGGGCUCAACCUGGGAACUGCAUUCGAAACUGGCAGGCUAGAGUCUUGUAGAGGGGGGUAGAAUUCCAUGUGUAGCGGUGAAAUGCGUAGAGAUCUGGAGGAAUACCGGUGGCGAAGGCGGCCCCCUGGACAAAGACUGACGCUCAGGUGCGAAAGCGUGGGGAGCAAACAGGAUUAGAUACCCUGGUAGUCCACGCCGUAAACGAUGUCGACUUGGAGGUUGUGCCCUUGCGGCCUGGCUUCCGGAGCUAACGCGUUAAGUCAACCGCCCGGGGAGUACGGCCGCCAGGGUAAAACUCAAAUGAAUUGACGGGGGCCCGCACCAGCGGUGGAGCAU